rnacentral:rRNA from 1 species
ACGGGAGGCAGCAGUGGGGAAUAUUGCACAAUGGGGGAAACCCUGAUGCAGCGACGCCGCGUGAGCGAAGAAGUACCUCGGUAUGUAAACUUCUAUCAGCAGGGAAGGAAAUGACGGUACCUGACUAAGAAGCCCCGGCUAACUACGUGCCAGCAGCCGCGGUAAUACGUAGGGGGCAAGCGUUAUCCGGAUUUACCGGGUGUAAAGGGAGCGUAGACGGAGCUGCAAGUCUGAUGUGAAAGCCCGGGGCUCAACCCCGGGACUGCAUUGGAAACUGUAGAUCUAGAGUGCCGGAAAGGUAAGUGGAAUUCCUAGUGUAGCGGUGAAAUGCGUAGAUAUUAGGAGGAACACCAGUGGCGAAGGCGGCUUACUGGACGGCGACUGACGUUGAGGCUCGAAAGCGUGGGGAGCAAACAGGAUUAGAUACCCUGGUA